GAUGUAUUGGCUUAGCUGGUCAGAGCAUGCUGCUGGUAACACCCAGGUCAUGGGCUUGAUCCCAGUAUGGAUCA